rnacentral:rRNA from 1 species
CCUACGGGAGGCUGCAGUGGGGAAUAUUGGACAAUGGGGGGAACCCUGAUCCAGCCAUGCCGCGUGUGUGAAGAAGGCCCUCGGGUUGUAAAGCACUUUCAGUGAGGAAGAACGCCUGGUGGUUAAUACCCAUCAGGAAAGACAUCACUCACAGAAGAAGCACCGGCUAACUCCGUGCCAGCAGCCGCGGUAAUACGGAGGGUGCGAGCGUUAAUCGGAAUUACUGGGCGUAAAGCGCGCGUAGGUGGCUUGAUAAGCCGGUUGUGAAAGCCCCGGGCUCAACCUGGGAACGGCAUCCGGAACUGUCAAGCUAGAGUGCAGGAGAGGAAGGUAGAAUUCCCGGUGUAGCGGUGAAAUGCGUAGAGAUCGGGAGGAAUUCCAGUGGCGAAGGCGGCCUUCUGGACUGACACUGACACUGAGGUGCGAAAGCGUGGGUAGCAAACAGGAUUAGAUACCCUUGUAGUC